rnacentral:rRNA from 1 species
UUUCAGCAGGGAAGAAGCGUGAGUGACGGUACCUGCAGAAGAAGCGCCGGCUAACUACGUGCCAGCAGCCGCGGUAAUACGUAGGGCGCAAGCGUUGUCCGGAAUUAUUGGGCGUAAAGAGCUCGUAGGCGGUCUGUCGCGUCUGGUGUGAAAUCCCAUGGCUCAACUGUGGGCUUGCAUCGGGUACGGGCAGACUAGAGUGCUGUAGGGGAGACUGGAAUUCCUGGUGUAGCGGUGGAAUGCGCAGAUAUCAGGAGGAACACCGAUGGCGAAGGCAGGUCUCUGGGCAGUUACUGACGCUGAGGAGCGAAAGCAUGGGGAGCGAACAGGAUUAGAUACCCUGGUAGUCCAUGCCGUAAACGUUGGGCACUAGGUGUGGGGCCAGUUCCACUGGUUCUGUGCCGCAGCUAACGCAUUAAGUGCCCCGCCUGGGGAGUACGGCCGCAAGGCUAAAACUCAAAGGAAUUGACGGGGGCCCGCACAAGCGGCGGAGCAUGCGGAUUAAUUCGAUGCAACGCGAAGAACCUUACCAAGGCUUGACAUGUACGGGAACGCCCCAGAGAUGGGGUUCUCUUUGGACACUCGUACACAGGUGGUGCAUGGUUGUCGUCAGCUCGUGU